CAUGAACUCACACACAAACGUCAAGUACGCAUUUAACAGGUGAAGGUUGAUGUCAUUUUUGCACUAAUAUAUCUUCAUCAAAUCAAACACUUAGUCCAAUCUUGAGCCUUAACAGGGUAUUAAGCCAUGUUUGUUCAGAAUUUAGUCACUAUCUUGUUUGAGGACAAACAAUAGUUCAAAUUUAGAGGGUUUGAUAGGUGUGUUUUUGCACACUUAUUUAAGUCAUAAACAUGACUUAAUUACGAGCAAAAUGAUUGAAUUGUGACUUAAUUUCGUUACAUUUGUGAAUUGUAGGGAACACCGAUGAACAUGGUGAAAUACAUGAGAAAAG
rnacentral:lncRNA from 1 species